UGCACGUCGUGUGUCUUCACCCCACAGCCAUUGCUAAGACACGCACAGAGCGCACAAACCAAGCACAGCAGCAGCUCCCAGACUGACUCUGCUGGAAAGGGGGGAGUCUAAGCCCUCGCUGAAGGAAGACUUGCUCUACGAAGAAUCCGUGCAGACAUGAUCAUUCGGCUGGGCAGACUGACCCCGGGAUACUUCCGCCUUCUCCAGAGGCAGGUGGCGGGGGAGGUGCAGACGCAGCCCCAGGACCGCAUGGUGAACCAGAUCGCCAUGAUGCUGGCCAUCAUGGGUCUGAGUCUGUCCUACUACAGCGCACGGCAGAUGACUGAGACGGUUCGGAACGAGCCCGCCCCCUGAGCAAACCCCGCCCACCAGCCGGAGGAGAGGCUGUUGACACAGAGAGAGCGCGAGCGAGGGACGACGAUGUUCAGCAUCUCACACACCUGACAGGCACCACCGGAUCCGGAUCACUCACCAAGCAACAGUUUAGGGACUGUUUGUUUUCUCUUUUUUUUUUUUUUUGUUUGUUUUGUUUAGUUUAAGAUGUGGCGUUUGGGGAAUGGCUUUGGGGAUUCGGUCAUAGGAAAAGACUGUGAUGCUGGUUCUGAGAUCCCAGCCCCAUGUUCAGAUGAGGCCCGAGUUUCAGUCCUUGAUGAGGUAUGGUGGGGGGAGGAGGCGUUUGCGAGGUGGGGCCGGCGUUAGCACUGGUUUGGGGGUAACCGUGUUCCCACUCGUAGUCUGUGAAAAGGACUUGCUUGGAUCAUUAAUCCUCUUUU